AACGAACGCUGGCGGCAGGCUUAACACAUGCAAGUCGAACGGCAGCACGGGAGCAAUCCUGGUGGCGAGUGGCGAACGGGUGAGUAAUAUAUCGGAACGUGCCCAGUCGUGGGGGAUAACGCAGCGAAAGCUGUGCUAAUACCGCAUACGAUCUAUGGAUGAAAGCGGGGGAUCGCAAGACCUCGCGCGAUUGGAGCGGCCGAUAUCAGAUUAGCUAGUUGGUGGGGUAAAGGCCUACCAAGGCGACGAUCUGUAGCUGGUCUGAGAGGACGACCAGCCACACUGGAAAUGCGACACGGUCCAGACUCCUACGGGAGGCAGCAGUGGGGAAUUUUGGACAAUGGGCGCAAGCCUGAUCCGGCAAUGCCGCGUGCAGGAUGAAGGCCUUCGGGUUGUAAACUGCUUUUGUACGGAACGAAACGGCUCUGGUUAAUACCUGGAGCUAAUGACGGUACCGUAAGAAUAAGCACCGGCUAACUACGUGCCAGCCGCCGCAGUAA
rnacentral:rRNA from 1 species